rnacentral:rRNA from 1 species
GAUCAUGGUUCAGAAUGAACGCUAGCUACAGGCUUAACACAUGCAAGUCGAGGGGCAGCAUGGUCUUAGCUUGCUAAGGCCGAUGGCGACCGGCGCACGGGUGAGUAACGCGUAUCCAACCUGCCUUACACUCUUGGACAGCCUUCUGAAAGGGAGAUUAAUACAAGAUGUUAUCAUGAGUAAGCAUUUUCGCAUGAUUAAAGGUUUACCGGUGUAAGAUGGGGAUGCGUU